rnacentral:lncRNA from 1 species
GGGUUUUCAGCCAACUCGAUUGCGGGAUAUGAGAACCAAGGAUCUCCCGCUUAGACUCCAAUUCAGAGCAGGGGACACAAGAAGCAAUACGCGGAAAGCCACGCAAUCGCGCCACCAACGCACCAGGGUUUUGCUUGAUUUUUUUUCCAGUUUCUCGUCUGUUUCCUUUUUUUUCUCCGCAUUUUUAAGUACCCUCUUGUAUCAUCGGUACUCAAUAAAAAGUAUUUAUGUUCCUCUACUCAGAGUCCUCUUCUUUUACUUACCCUGAUACGGUCGCAUCAAAACUCAAAGCUGGCUGCGUCCAAUCGACCCCGAACUUGUCAUUGGACGCACCCGACACUCAGGAGCUGC